UACGUAGGGCGCAAGCGUUGUCCGGAAUUAUUGGGCGUAAAGAGCUCGUAGGCGGCCUGUUGCGUCCGCUGUGAAAACCCGGGGCUUAACCCCGGGCUUGCAGUGGAUACGGGCAGGCUGGAGGCAGGCAGGGGAGAACGGAAUUCCCGGUGUAGCGGUGAAAUGCGCAGAUAUCAGGAGGAACACCGGUGGCGAAGGCGGUUCUCUGGGCAUGUCCUGACGCUGAGGAGCGAAAGUGUGGGGAGCGAACAGG
rnacentral:rRNA from 1 species